rnacentral:misc_RNA from 1 species
CAACCAUCAAGCCCCGGGCUUGUGGUGGGGACCUGCGGCUGCCGCAGGCCCUGAAAACCAGUGGCGGGCUCGCUAGUCACUCCGAGCGUAGUAGUUUACACCUCGCUCAGGGCGUGCUGCGGGUUCCGGCCGUUAAAAGCCUUAUUUUACCCAA